rnacentral:rRNA from 1 species
GUCCUAAGAUGAGCUCAACGAGAACAUAAAUCUCAUGUGGAACAGAAGGGUAAAAGCUCAUUUGAUUUUGAUUUCCAGUACGAAUACGAACCGUGAAAGCGUGGCCUAACGAUCCUUUAGACCUUUGGAAUUUGAAGCUAGAGGUGUCAGAAAAGUUACCAUAGGGAUAACUGGCUUGUGGCAGCCAAGUGUUCAUAGUGAAGUUUUUUGAUCUUUCGAUGUCGACUCUUCCUAUCAUUGUGAAGCAGAAUUCACCACGUGUUGGAUUGUUCACCCACCAAUAGGGAAUGUGAGCUAGGUUUAGACUGUCGUGAGAUAGGUUAGUUUUACCCUACUGAUGAUAGUGUUGUAAUAGUAGUUCAACCUAGUAUGAGAGGAACUGUUGAUUCGCACAAUUGGUUAUUGCGCUUGGUUGAAAAGCCAGGGGCGCGAAGCUGCCGUGUGCUGGAUUAUGACUAAACGCCUCUAAGUCAGAAUCCAGGCUAGAAGCGACACAUGCGCCCACCGCCCACUUGCCGACCCGCAGUAGGGGCCGUCCGGCCCCCAAAGGCACGUGUCCUUGGUGAAGCCCGCGCGGUGGAUGAGCCACGCGUGCCACCUUGAAGUACAAUUCCUAUCUCGGGCGGCGGGUAGAAUCCUUUGCAGAAGACUUAAAUACACGACGAGGUAUUAUAAGUGGCAGAGUGGCCUUACUGCCACGAUCCACUGAGAU